rnacentral:lncRNA from 1 species
CUGGAGCUUUCAUGUGUUGCAUUUUUUCUGUCUUAAGUAUUGCUUUAUAAUCAAAGUAAAGAGAAUGCAUAACACUUGCACUGCCUUUGUGGUAUACUCUAUGGUCCUUGUACCCUUUGUCAUUCAAGCAGGAUAGCUUCUGCCUUCUCUUCUCAAUGUUAACCUCCUCUAAAGCAGAUUAGUCAGUUUGUGUCCAAACUUCACUGCACAUUGAACUAACAUGGUACAUGCAUUCACACACCCUUGCCCACAUCUUCCAUAUGCAGUAUUUUCUGUUGUGCACUUCUCUUGUGACUGUAGCACAAUUCAGGUCUCAUUCCCUCAACAGGACACAUCUUUGUGAUGUUUCAGCAGACACGUAGGUGGAUUAUGAUGCCUAGAGAAUGUGCUGAAUGCAGAGAAACUCAAUAUAGUGAGCAGCUUUAUGCCAUGCUGGAGAUUUUGGGAGUUGGAAAGGGUGACUCACAGCCCCAGAUGGAUGAGAUGGGCCCUGAGUUUCUCAGAAGGUUUCAUCUCGCAUUGCACAUAGGUAAAGCUAAGCCAGAAAACACUAUUAUGACCCACAGAAGAAAAAAAAAUUAACAACAGUCAACAACAACAGUUUAACAUCUUCCUGCCUGCUUUUGGAUGUCACAGGCAAGGACUUUGCUGAUGAAGUGAUUAAAUGAUGUGCAGUCUGUCCUUAGCAGUGAAGGUGAUAAUUACACAGAGAAAGGCAACUAACGAAUAAGGAUGCUCCCCUGGAACAGGUCUCAGAAUAAAAACAUCAGAUGUGUGCUGCUCUCA